UACAGAGGGCCCGAGCGUUGUUCGGAUUCACUGGGCGUAAAGGGUGCGUAGGCGGCUUGAAAAGUUUGAUGUGAAAGCUCAGGGCUUAACCCUGAAAUGGCAUUGAAUACUGUCGAGCUGGAGGUUUGGAGGGGGGACUGGAAUUCGUGGUGUAGCAGUGAAAUGCGUAGAUAUCAAGAGGAACACCAGUGGCGAAGGCGAGUCCCUGGACAUAAACUGACACUGAGGCACGAAAGCUAGGGGAGCAAACAGG
rnacentral:rRNA from 1 species